rnacentral:rRNA from 2 species
AAUACAUGCAAGUCGAGCGGACGAUUGAAGAGCUUGCUCUUCAAUCGUUAGCGGCGGACGGGUGAGUAACACGUGGGCAACCUGCCUUAACGACUGGGAUAACUCCGGGAAACCGGGGCUAAUACCGGAUAACAUCUAGCACCUCCUGGUGCAAGAUUAAAAGAGGGCCUCUGGCUCUCACGUUAAGAUGGGCCCGCGGCGCAUUAGCUAGUUGGAGAGGUAACGGCUCCCCAAGGCGACGAUGCGUAGCCGACCUGAGAGGGUGAUCGGCCACACUGGGACUGAGACACGGCCCAGACUCCUACGGGAGGCAGCAGUAGGGAAUCUUCCGCAAUGGACGAAAGUCUGACGGAGCAACGCCGCGUGAGUGAUGAAGGGUUUCGGCUCGUAAAGCUCUGUUAUGAGGGAAGAACAAGUGCCAUUCAAAUAGGUUGGCACCUUGACGGUACCUCAUCAGAAAGCCACGGCUAACUACGUGCCAGCAGCCGCGGUAAUACGUAGGUGGCAAGCGUUGUCCGGAAUUAUUGGGCGUAAAGCGCGCGCAGGCGGCCUCUUAAGUCUGAUGUGAAAUCUUGCGGCUCAACCGCAAGCGGCCAUUGGAAACUGGGGGGCUUGAGUACAGAAGAGGAGAGUGGAAUUCCACGUGUAGCGGUGAAAUGCGUAGAUAUGUGGAGGAACACCAGUGGCGAAGGCGACUCUCUGGUCUGUAACUGACGCUGAGGCGCGAAA